UUUGGAUCCUAGAUAUAAGUUUUUUGCAAUUAGCCAAUGGAUGAAAAGUAUGGGCGUUGAAGAUUAGGAAAUUGAAAGUUCUAUCUCUAGUAUAAAGCAUCAAUUGUUUGAAUUGCACGAAGUGUACAAGGAUAAUAUAGUGCCUGCAGUUCCAACCUCUAGUAUAAGCUCUAAUUUACCUGCAUCUUCUGCUGAUACUAUUGUUUUACCUAAUGAUGAAGAUGAGGACUUUGCUGAAGAGGUCUUAAAAAAAGCUAAAACAGCUACUUGUUGGUGGAGAUCUCAUGAAGAAGUCUAUCCAGUGCUUUCUUUGAUAGCUCGUGACCUGCUAUCGAUUCCAGCUUCAACAGUAGCAUCAGAGGCAGCUUUUAGUGCCGGUGGAAGGGUUGUAUCGGAGAAGAGAGCAAGUCUGAACCCGGACACAAUUCAAGCAUUGAUUUGCUUGAAAGAUUGGAAGCUGGGAGAAGCAAGACAGCAAGACAAAGAGCAAGAUGAGCUCCGAGCUGAAGAGGAACAAAAUGCAAAACUAGCAAGACCCGAAUGGAUGAUUGCACUUGAACGUGCUAAUUCAAACACGGAAGGCGUCGAGUCAAUUGGAGAUUGAGGAAGAGGUUCUUUGCUUGGUUGCCAUGAAUAUGGAUAUCAGUAAGAGAUGAAGGAAAGUUUGCUAGUGUUAAAUCAAGUCAUCCUUCAGUUUUUGUAUCAAAGAUAACAACUUUUUGUGAAUUGAUGAAGACUUGAUCAGUUCAUCAGUUUUUGUAUCAAACACUGCUUCACUUUUUGUACCCUCAGUGAGUCAGUGGCUGUGCAAUUUUAAUUUCAA